rnacentral:rRNA from 1 species
GUGAGUCAUCGAGUCUUUGAACGCACCUUGCGCUCCUUGGCAUUCCUCGGAGCAUGCCUGUUCGAGUGUCUUUUUCUUCCUCCAUUCCCCCUCCACCUCGUGUGAAGGUGAAUGGGAUCGUGAUGGUUUCGCGCGUGAAAGCGAGCGUCCAUUGAAAGAAAGUCGAGCGCGCGCCGCACGAGAUCGGCCCGACUCUGACGUUGUAAUCGCCUAGCGUUCCUCGUUGGAUACGGUCUCUUGGGGGCGGCUGCCAAUAACGAUCUCGAGGAUUCCUCGAGUGAGUGUGAUUUUGACCUCGAAUCAGGUAGGACUACCCGCUGAACUUAAGCAUAUCAAUAAGCGGAGG